GGAGAAAUGGCGGAUUGGUAGACGCAAGUAUGCAGAUAGAUUGAAGAAAGUCAUACAUAGGUAAUCUAUCGUCCCGGUUCGAAUCCGGGUUUCUCCA
rnacentral:tRNA from 2 species